CCUACGGGAGGCAGCAGUGAGGAAUAUUGGUCAAUGGGCGGAAGCCUGAACCAGCCAAGUCGCGUGAGGGAAUAAGGCCCUACGGGUCGUAAACCUCUUUUGCCGGGGAGCAAGGGCGGGGACGUGUCCCGGCCCGGAGAGUACCCGGAGAAAAAGCAUCGGCGAACUCCGUGCCAGCAGCGGCGGUAAUACGGAGGAUGCGAGUGUUAUCAGGAUUUAUUGGGUUCAAAGGGUGCGUAGGCGGGCUUUUACGUAAGCGGGAAAAAUUCGGGGCUCAACCCCGUCCGGCCGUUGAAACUGGAGGCCUUGAGUGGGCGAGAAGAAGGCGGAAUGCGUGGUGUAGCGGUGAAAUGCAUAGAUAUCACGCAGAACCCCGAUUGCGAAGGCAGCCUUCCGGCGCCCUACUGACGCUGAGGCACGAAAGUGCGGGGAUCGAACAGGAUUAGAUACCCUUGUAGUC
rnacentral:rRNA from 1 species